UACGUAGGGUGCGAGCGUUAAUCGGAAUUACUGGGCGUAAAGCGUGCGCAGGCGGUUCGCUGUGUCCGAUGUGAAAGCCCCGGGCUCAACCUGGGAAUUGCGAUGGAGACUGCAAGGCUUGAAUCUGGCAGAGGGGGGUAGAAUUCCACGUGUAGCAGUGAAAUGCGUAGAGAUGUGGAGGAACACCGAUGGCGAAGGCAGCCCCCUGGGUCAAGAUUGACGCUCAUGCACGAAAGCGUGGGGAGCAAACAGG
rnacentral:rRNA from 1 species